rnacentral:rRNA from 1 species
AAACCAACAGGGAUUGCCUUAGUAGCGGCGAGUGAAGCGGCAAGAGCUCAAAUUUGAAAUCUGGUACCUUCGGUGCCCGAGUUGUAAUUUGAAGAAAGCUAUCUUGGAUUUGGCCUUUGUCUAUGUUCCUUGGAACAGGACGUCAUAGAGGGUGAGAAUCCCGUCUGAUGAGGUGUCCAUUUCUAUGUAAGAUGUUUUCGAAGAGUCGAGUUGUUUGGGAAUGCAGCUCUAAGUGGGUGGUAAAUUCCAUCUAAAGCUAAAUAUUGGCGAGAGACCGAUAGCGAACAAGUACUGUGAAGGAAAGAUGAAAAGAACUUUGAAAAGAGAGUGAAAAAGUACGUGAAAUUGUUGAAAGGGAAGGGUAUUUGAUCAGACUUGGUAUUUAGCAACCAUCGCCUCUUGUGGGUGGUGCCAUUGCUUUUUACUGGGCCAGCAUCAGUUUUGGUGGCAAGAUAAUGACAGUUGAAUGUGGCUCCUCGGAGUGUUAUAGCCUCUGUUGAUGUUGCCUACCGGGACUGAGGUCUGCGGCUUUGCCUAGGAUGCUGGCGUAAUGAUCCAAUACCGC